rnacentral:pre_miRNA from 9 species
GAUGCACUCAGUGGGGGAGCCAGGAAGUAUUGAUGUUUCUGCCAGGUUAGCGUCAACACUUGCUGGUUUCCUCUCUGGAGCAUC